rnacentral:misc_RNA from 1 species
GAUGAAGAACGCAGCGAAAUGCGAUAAUUAAUGUGAAUUGCAGAAUUUAGUGAAUCAUCGAAUCUUUGAACGCACAUUGCGCCCCUUGGUAUUCCGGGGGGCAUGCCUGUUCGAGCGUCAUUUACCCCUCAAGCACUGCUUGGUGUUGGGCGUCUGUCCCGCUUCGCGCGCGGACUCGCCCCAAAGGUAUUGGCAGCGGUCGUGCCAGCUUCUCGCGCAGCACAUUGCGCUUCUCGAGGCGGUCGAUCGGCGUCCACGAAGCUCACCUCCACCGUUUGACCUCGGAUCAGGUAGGGAUACCCGCUGAACUUAAGCAUAUCAAUAAGCGGAGGA